ACGUGUCAACACAGGCAAGUUUUUCGGGACUUGCCCUGCUGUUUGGAUGUUGAAGGCUUGCUGGCGGUGAACAUUUUUCUGUCAGCUCCUUUUAAAUGCAUUAGCAGGAACCUUGCAGGACUGGCUUCAGUUUGAUAAGAUUGAACUGUUGCUAGAAUGCACUUUUUGUGUUGUUCCAGCUUCUAAUCGUCCAGCAAAACUGGACUGCCUCGCCUUGAGACAAUUACUAUUGAUA
rnacentral:misc_RNA from 1 species